GCUGGAAGGUAAGGGGAACUGUGAGUGUGAUGCGUAGCGGUGAACUUAAGCCCCAGUAAACGGCGGUGGUAACUAUAACCAUCCUAAGGUAGCGAAAUUCCUUGUCGGGUAAGUUCCGACCUGCACGAAUGGAGUAACGAUUUCCCUACUGUCUCCACCAUGAACUCGGUGAAAUUGCAUUACGAGUAAAGAUGCUCGUUACGCGCAGCAGGACGGAAAGACCCCGGGACCUUUACUAUAGUUUGGUAUUGGUGAUUGGGACGGUUUGUGUAGGAUAGGUGGGAGACGUUGAUGCGGCCACGCUAGUGGUGGUGGAGUCGUUGGUGAAAUACCACUCUGAUUGUUCUGGUUAUCUCACUGUGGACCGUGAUCCGGUUCAAGGACAGUGCCUGAUGGGUAGUUUGACUGGGGCGGUCGCCUCCUAAAAGGUAACGGAGGCGUGCAAAGGUUCCCUCAGACUGGUCGGAAA
rnacentral:rRNA from 1 species